rnacentral:lncRNA from 1 species
CCGGAUGUUAUCCCCAAAUUCUAUUCUGUUCAUGAGUUGUUUCGAAUCCAUCUGCCGAAGCUGGGGUUUCACACCCACGGCCUGUCUAUUCGUCACUUUCUUCCAUCUCGUUAGGGUGAUUCAGAAUUUCUAUUAUUUUUCCCCCUGUAGUGGGUUGUCUCUUUUCACGGGCUACAAGGAUUCCAUAAAGGGAUGGGUUGAGAAU